GAUGAAGAACGUAGCGAAAUGCGAUAAGUAGUGUGAAUUGCAGAAUUCCGUGAAUCAUCGAAUCUUUGAACGCACAUUGCGCCUCCUGGUAAUCCGUGAGGCAUGCCUGUCCGAGCGUCAGUAAAAAGCAACUCGGCCGCGGCUGGCGGUUGGUGAUGGAGGAAGAGCACGUCUCGUUGUCGGUCUCCCCUCCCAAAAUCAACGGCGGAAUGUCACCGGCACUCGGUGUUGUAGUAUUAUUCGCCGAUCACCCAUUGUUGUUCCUGCCGCCCAAACCCCCACAAUUCUCUUGAUUGACCUCGGAUCAGGUAGGGAUACCCGCUGAACUUAAGCAUAUCAAUAAGCGGAGGA
rnacentral:misc_RNA from 1 species